rnacentral:rRNA from 1 species
UUCCAGACUCCUACGGGAGGCAGCAGUGGGGAAUAUUGCACAAUGGGGGAAACCCUGAUGCAGCAACGCCGCGUGAGUGAGGAAGUAUUUCGGUAUGUAAAGCUCUAUCAGCAGGGAAUAGAAAAGAAGGUACCUGAAAAAGAAGCCCCGGCUAACUACGUGCCAGCAGCCGCGGUAAUACGUAGGGGGCAAGCGUUAUCCGGAUUUACUGGGUGUAAAGGGAGCGUAGACGGAAAGGCAAGUCAGAAGUGAAAGCCCAAGGCUCAACCAUGGGACUGCUUUUGAAACUGUCAAACUAGAGUACGGGAGAGGUAAGAGGAAUUCCUAGUGUAGCGGUGAAAUGCGUAGAUAUUAGGAGGAACACCAGUGGCGAAGGCGGCCUGCUGGACGAUGACUGACGCUGAGGCUCGAAAGCGUGGGGAGCAAACAGGAUUAGAUACCCCAGUAAU